rnacentral:rRNA from 1 species
CCUACGGGUGGCAGCAGUGGGGAAUAUUGGACAAUGGGGGGAACCCUGAUCCAGCCAUGCCGCGUGUGUGAAGAAGGCCCUCGGGUUGUAAAGCACUUUCAGUGAGGAAGAACGCCUGGUGGUUAAUACCCAUCAGGAAAGACAUCACUCACAGAAGAAGCACCGGCUAACUCCGUGCCAGCAGCCGCGGUAAUACGGAGGGUGCGAGCGUUAAUCGGAAUUACUGGGCGUAAAGCGCGCGUAGGUGGCUUGAUAAGCCGGUUGUGAAAGCCCCGGGCUCAACCUGGGAACGGCAUCCGGAACUGUCAAGCUAGAGUGCAGGAGAGGAAGGUAGAAUUCCCGGUGUAGCGGUGAAAUGCGUAGAGAUCGGGAGGAAUACCAGUGGCGAAGGCGGCCUUCUGGACUGACACUGACACUGAGGUGCGAAAGCGUGGGCAGCAAACAGGAUUAGAUACCCGUGUAGUC